AAAUGGAAUGGCUCUCUUAGUUACGCUGUGCCCCGACCCGAGUCCCCACGUCCGCUUUUAUCCGCCCGCAACCUGGCCAACACAACAUUAGGGUCGCCCCCAUUCUAUGCUGACCCGGGCCGGGGCUCGCUUUUUGGGAAGCCCGUUCCCACCGUGCUCACGGCUCGGCUGGAGCUUUUGAAAACGCAGUGCACCCAGGUAAAUAAGGAACAAGAUGAAUACAGAAGUUAA
rnacentral:rRNA from 1 species